GACGAACGCUGGCGGCGUGCUUAACACAUGCAAGUCGAACGCUGAAGCUCAGCUUUUGUUGGGUGGAUGAGUGGCGAACGGGUGAGUAACACGUGAGUAACCUGCCCCCUUCUUUGGGAUAACGCCCGGAAACGGGUGCUAAUACUGGAUAUUCACUGGUCUUCGCAUGGGGGUUGGUGGAAAGGGUUUUUCUGGUGGGGGAUGGGCUCGCGGCCUAUCAGCUUGUUGGUGGGGUGAUGGCCUACCAAGGCUUUGACGGGUAGCCGGCCUGAGAGGGUGACCGGUCACAUUGGGACUGAGAUACGGCCCAGACUCCUACGGGAGGCGGCAGUGGGGAAUAUUGCACAAUGGGCGCAAGCCUGAUGCAGCGACGCCGCGGGAGGGAUGGAGGCCUUCGGGUUGUGAACCUCUUUCGCUCAUGGUCAAGCCGCAACAAUGGUUGUGGUGAGGGUAGUGGGUAAAGAAGCGCCGGCUAACUACGUG
rnacentral:rRNA from 1 species